UAUAGAGGCCCCAAGCGUUACUGAGAAUCACUGGGUUUAAAGGGUGCGUAGGUGGUCCGUUAAGUUCGUUGUGAAAUCCCUGGGCUCAACCCAGGAAAUGCUUCGAAUACUGGCGGACUUGAGGCUAGUAGGGGUCACUGGAACUGACGUGGAGCGGUGAAAUGCGUAGAUAUCGUCAGGAACGCCAAUGGUGAAGACAGGUGACUGGGCUAGUUCUGACACUGAGGCACGAAAGCGUGGGGAGUCAAACGGAUUAAGAGUAC
rnacentral:rRNA from 1 species